rnacentral:rRNA from 1 species
UACGGGGGGGGGCAAGCGUUGUUCGGAAUUACUGGGCGUAAAGGGCUCGUAGGUGGCCAACUAAGUCAGACGUGAAAUCCCUCAGCUUAACUGGGGAACUGCGUCCGAUACUGGAUGGCUUGAAUUCGGGAGAGGGAUGCAGAAUUCCAGGUGUAGCGGUGAAAUGCGUAGAUAUCUGGAGGAAUACCGGUGGCGAAGGCGGCAUCCUGGACCGACAUUGACGCUGAACGGCGAAAGCUAGGGGAGCAAACGGG